UGAUACUUCGCAUUCAACCUACAAG
rnacentral:piRNA from 1 species